GACGAACGCUGGCGGCGUGCCUAACACAUGCAAGUCGAACGGAGUUAAGACUUCGGUUUUAACUUAGUGGCGAACGGGUGAGUAACGCGUGAGAAACCUGCCUCUCAGUGGGGAAUAACACAGGGAAACUUGUACUAAUACCGCAUGGGACCCCGGUGCCACAUGGCACAGGGGUGAAAGAUUUAUCGCUGAGAGGUGGGCUCGCGUCUGAUUAGGUAGUUGGUGAGGUAACGGCUCACCAAGCCGACGAUCAGUAGCCGACCUGAGAGGGUGAUCGGCCACAUUGGGACUGAGACACGGCCCAA
rnacentral:rRNA from 1 species